rnacentral:rRNA from 1 species
GCUCAAAUUUGAAAUCUGGUACCUUCGGUGCCCGAGUUGUAAUUUGGAGAGGGCAACUUUGGGGCCGUUCCUUGUCUAUGUUCCUUGGAACAGGACGUCAUAGAGGGUGAGAAUCCCGUGUGGCGAGGAGUGCGGUUCUUUGUAAAGUGCCUUCGAAGAGUCGAGUUGUUUGGGAAUGCAGCUCUAAGUGGGUGGUAAAUUCCAUCUAAAGCUAAAUAUUGGCGAGAGACCGAUAGCGAACAAGUACAGUGAUGGAAAGAUGAAAAGAACUUUGAAAAGAGAGUGAAAAAGUACGUGAAAUUGUUGAAAGGGAAGGGCAUUUGAUCAGACAUGGUGUUUUGUGCCCUCUGCUCCUUGUGGGUAGGGGAAUCUCGCAUUUCACUGGGCCAGCAUCAGUUUUGGUGGCAGGAUAAAUCCAUAGGAAUGUAGCUUGCCUCGGUAAGUAUUAUAGCCUGUGGGAAUACUGCCAGCUGGGACUGAGGACUGCGACGUAAGUCAAGGAUGCUGGCAUAAUGGUUAUAUGC